AAAUUGAAGAGUUUGAUCAUGGCUCAGAUUGAACGCUGGCGGCAGGCCUAACACAUGCAAGUCGAGCGGUAGCACAGAGAGCUUGCUCUCGGGUGACGAGCGGCGGACGGGUGAGUAAUGUCUGGGAAACUGCCUGAUGGAGGGGGAUAACUACUGGAAACGGUAGCUAAUACCGCAUAAUGUCGCAAGACCAAAGUGGGGGACCUUCGGGCCUCAUGCCAUCAGAUGUGCCCAGAUGGGAUUAGCUAGUAGGUGGGGUAACGGCUCACCUAGGCGACGAUCCCUAGCUGGUCUGAGAGGAUGACCAGCCACACUGGAACUGAGACACGGUCCAGACUCCUACGGGAGGCAGCAGUGGGGAAUAUUGCACAAUGGGCGCAAGCCUGAUGCAGCCAUGCCGCGUGUGUGAAGAAGGCCUUCGGGUUGUAAAGCACUUUCAGCGGGGAGGAAGGCGGUGAGGUUAAUAACCUCAUCGAUUGACGUUACCCGCAGAAGAAGCACCGGCUAACUCCGUGCCAGCAGCCGCGGUAAUACGGAGGGUGCAAGCGUUAAUCGGAAUUACUGGGCGUAAAGCGCACGCAGGCGGUCUGUCAAGUCGGAUGUGAAAUCCCCGGGCUUAACCUGGGAACUGCAUUCGAAACUGGCAGGCUAGAGUCUUGUAGAGGGGGUAGAAUUCCAGGUGUAGCGGUGAAAUGCGUAGAGAUCUGGAGGAAUACCGGUGGCGAAGGCGGCCCCCUGGACAAAGACUGACGCUCAGGUGCGAAAGCGUGGGGAGCAAACAGGAUUAGAUACCCUGGUAGUCCACGCCGUAAACGAUGUCGAUUUGGAGGUUGUGCCCUUGAGGCGUGGCUUCCGGAGCUAACGCGUUAAAUCGACCGCCUGGGGAGUACGGCCGCAAGGUUAAAACUCAAAUGAAUUGACGGGGGCCCGCACAAGCGGUGGAGCAUGUGGUUUAAUUCGAUGCAACGCGAAGAACCUUACCUGGUCUUGACAUCCACAGAACUUUCCAGAGAUGGAUUGGUGCCUUCGGGAACUGUGAGACAGGUGCUGCAUGGCUGUCGUCAGCUCGUGUUGUGAAAUGUUGGGUUAAGUCCCGCAACGAGCGCAACCCUUAUCCUUUGUUGCCAGCGGUUCGGCCGGGAACUCAAAGGAGACUGCCAGUGAUAAACUGGAGGAAGGUGGGGAUGACGUCAAGUCAUCAUGGCCCUUACGACCAGGGCUACACACGUGCUACAAUGGCAUAUACAAAGAGAAGCGACCUCGCGAGAGCAAGCGGACCUCAUAAAGUAUGUCGUAGUCCGGAUUGGAGUCUGCAACUCGACUCCAUGAAGUCGGAAUCGCUAGUAAUCGUAGAUCAGAAUGCUACGGUGAAUACGUUCCCGGGCCUUGUACACACCGCCCGUCACACCAUGGGAGUGGGUUGCAAAAGAAGUAGGUAGCUUAACCUUCGGGAGGGCGCUUACCACUUUGUGAUUCAUGACUGGGGUGAAGUCGUAACAAGGUAACCGUAGGGGAACCUGCGGUUGGAUCACCUCCUUACCUUAAAGAA
rnacentral:rRNA from 1 species